GAUUUACUCCCUCCGUCCGGAAAUACUUGUCAUUGAAAUGGAUGUAUCUAGAUGUAUUUUAGUUGUAGAUACAUCCAUUUUCAUCCAUUUUGAUGACAAGUAUUUCCGGAUGGAGGGAGUACUAU
rnacentral:pre_miRNA from 1 species